CGGCCGCGGUAUUUUGACCGUGCUAAGGUAGCGUAAUCACUUGUCUUUUAAAUGAAGACCUGUAUGAAUGGCAUGACGAGGGCUAAACUGUCUCCUUUUCCAAGUCAAUGAAAUUGAUCCCCCCGUGCAGAAGCGGGGAUUAUAUCAUAAGACGAGAAGACCCCAUGGAGCUUAAGACAUAUGCAGACUAUGUAAAUCAACUUAACUACAAGAUAAAACAAAAUAAUCCCUGCAUCAAGUCUUUGGUUGGGGCGACCGUGGAGAAACAAAAAUCCCCCAUGUGGAAAAAUAGUUAAACUAUUUUAAAAUAGAGAUACCUCUCUAAUUUUCAGAACAUCUGACCAAAAAGAUCCGGCAAAGCCGACCAACGGACAAAGUUACCCUGGGGAUAACAGCGCAAUCCUCUUCUAGAGCCCCUAUCGACAAGAGGGUUUACGACCUCGAUGUUGGAUCAGGACAUCCUAAUGGUGCAGCCGCUAUUA
rnacentral:rRNA from 1 species